GGGGAUUUGGCUCAAUGGUAGAGCACUUGCCUAGCAAGCACAAGGCCCUGGGUUCGGUCCCCAGCUCCG
rnacentral:tRNA from 1 species